AAAUGCUUCAAAACCAGUAAAAAUGAAGCAAAGAAAUAGAGGAUAACUGGAAACUCAAAAAAGAAUCAAACAAAAAUCAUUUAGGUGCUUACAGUCUCAACCAAAUACCUUGUUUUGUUCGAGGCAAAAGUUGUGGUGCUUUCCACAAUAAAAUUAGAUAUGUCCACAUUGCUAAGUCUAGACAACACGAAAUAGAAAUUCAUUAAAACAAUAUUAGGAACUUAUUCAUCCGCAGGAAAUUAACAUAAAUUUCGUAGCAACUCUACAAAGAGUAGCUCACUGAUUUACAUGGUAUGACAGCCCCGACUACACCUCUCCUACAAUGCUGGCAGUUGCUUCACUUCAUGAAUGUCACUAUGGCUACAUUCUCUCCUUGAAUGUAAUCUUGAACCUCUCCUGAAGAACAUCAAAUAGAACAUGUCCUGAAGAACCUCAAAGGUGAAAGUUAUACCAUGUACAUCUGAAAUUUAUCUUUUGCCAUGAACCCCUUCUAAGUACUAAAAAAUGAUGGUCUAUACAUCAGUGUCCCAGUCUAAAGAUAUAAUGUAGUAUAGUUCUGCAUAAUAGAAUAAAGCAAACAUCUAUUUUUUUGUCAGUGUAGUCAACUUUCCUUUGCAACUGCUUUUGCUACCAGAUUGACUGCGGACAUGCUGAAGAGCUUAGCAGUCACUCUGCUUGUUGCCAGAAAAUGGGAAUAACACUGUCUGAUAUAUUUUCUUGAUAUAUGCAUACUGAAUCUCCAUGCAGAGUGAACAUGUACGUGGCUGCUAGUCUGCUACUUCAUGGGUCAAGAACACUUGGAUAUGCAUGAACCUUUGAACACCUAGGAGCCUAGGACACUGCACCUUGAUAUGCUUUGUCUAUUACUGCAUCAUGUGCAAACACUUGCGAUGGCAUCUGCCACUUCAUCCCCGGCAGAUUGUGCGACAUCAGUAGUGUUGUAGUCAAACACACCAUAGAGCCUGACACCCAUCACUUAAUCUGCACAGAAAUCAAAACCCCACAUUAGCCCGUCCACUGUAACGGUACAAAAUCUAUACCGCUAAAAUUAAAUUUGCAUCAUACCUAUUUUAUUUUAUCCUAAAACUGUGUCAACAAGAUAUCCAUUCAUUUCAAAUAACGCAGUAAGUACAUCUAUUUCAGACGGCUCCUCGAUAGCCUUAUCUAGUGGGCUAUUGGCCUUGCGCUUCUCUGGAGAUGGACAAU
rnacentral:lncRNA from 1 species